rnacentral:rRNA from 1 species
AACGAACGCUGGCGGCAGGCUUAACACAUGCAAGUCGAGCGCCCCGCAAGGGGAGCGGCAGACGGGUGAGUAACGCGUGGGAAUCUACCCAUCUCUACGGAAUAACGCAUGGAAACGUGUGCUAAUACCGUAUACGUCCUUCGGGAUAAAGAUUUAUCGGAGAUGGAUGAGCCCGCGUUGGAUUAGCUAGUUGGUGGGGUAAAGGCCUACCAAGGCGACGAUCCAUAGCUGGUCUGAGAGGAUGAUCAGCCACACUGGGACUGAGACACGGCCCAGACUCCUACGGGAGGCAGCAGUGGGGAAUAUUGGACAAGGGGCGCAAGCCUGAUCCAGCCAUGCCGCGUGAGUGAUGAAGGCCCUAGGGUUGUAAAGCUCUUUCACCGGUGAAGAUAAUGACGGUAACCGGAGAAGAAGCCCCGGCUAACUUCGUGCCAGCAGCCGCCGUAAGAC